rnacentral:rRNA from 1 species
CUACGGGGCGCAGCAGUGGGGAAUAUUGGACAAUGGGGGAAACCCUGAUCCAGCAAUGCCGCGUGUGUGAAGAAGGCCUGCGGGUUGUAAAGCACUUUCGGUUGGGAGGACUGCUUCUAGCACUAAUAUUGUUGGAAGUUGACGUUACCUUCAGAAGAAGCACCGGCUAACUCCGUGCCAGCAGCCGCGGUAAUACGGAGGGUGCAUGCGUUAAUCGGAAUUACUGGGCGUAAAGCGCGCGUAGGCGGCUAGAUCAGUCGGGUGUGAAAGCCCCGGGCUUAACCUGGGAACUGCAUCCGAUACUGUCUAGCUUGAGUACAGGAGAGGAGAGUGGAAUUCCACAUGUAGCGGUGAAAUGCGUAGAUAUGUGGAGGAACACCAAUGGCGAAGGCAGCUCUCUGGCCUGAUACUGACGCCGAGGUGCGAAAGCGUGGGGAGCAAACAGGAUUAGAUACCCCAGUAGUC